GCUCCGAUCGUCUAGUCCGGUCAAGGACGCAGGCCUUUCAAGCCUGUAACCCGGGAUGCAGACCCGCACGCGCG
rnacentral:tRNA from 1 species